rnacentral:lncRNA from 1 species
GUCUAAUCCUCUGCGAUGGGGCCAGUCUGCAGAUCCGUCUGGGCGGGCUGCGGUAGCAUUCUCCACCUGCCAACACUCAGUUGCUGGUGAGUAACCAGCAUACGGACUCUCACUUCCUAGAUGACGCCUUGCUGUGUUGCCCAGGGUGGUCUCUAAUUCCUGGCCUUUAGCAAUUCUCCCGCCUUGGCCUCCUAAAGCACUGGGGUUACAGGCAUGAACCACUGUGCCCAGCCUGCAUGAUGUAAUCUCCAAAUUGAGGAUGAAAUGGAGCGCACUCUUUCGUGGCACUUUUAUAGGCAGGAGAGAGAGUGGUCUCACAACGGAAGGGCACCAGCCACUGAGAAGUCCUAAGGCCGUGUUUGAGUUCUGGCUCAUCUUUUUUGCUAAUUUGCUCUUAUGCAUAUCACCCAACCUCGCUAAGCCAGUUUCAUCAUCAGCGAGAACAGCACACUGACAUGCAGGGCCAGCUCAGGCGCUACCACAAGCUACACAUCCGUCCAUUCGUUUAAUCUUCACAGCAGCCCUGGAGGUCACCCAGGCAUGGAAUGCACAGCUCUGCCAGACAGAAAGCGCUUUGGAUGCCUGAGAAACAACAGCUUGUCCGGGCUACUGAUGCGAAGAGAGGCCAUGGUUUCCUUUUUCUCUGCUCUGAAUGGCAGCCUUGACGUCACAACAGCUAGGAACCACUGGAGGGACAAAUAACAAGGCGCAAGCCAGAAGCGCCCUGCUCUGUCGCAGGGGCAGGGCCAUUUUCAUCCAGUUCUGAUGUCUUCUGUGGCCGCUGCGAGUCGGCGGGAGUAGAGACAAAUGACUGGAGCUUUAGGCGUAAAGGCGGUCUCUCUCUAGGCUGAUCAAACAGCCCUUUGCCCAGUGCUAAUUGCCUUCACGGAACCUGGAUAAACUACAGUUCCCGAAUUAAACUUGUUUCUGAUGAACUAGACUUCCCAGGGAAUGGGUGUAGUGAUUUUGCUGAUGGUUCAGACAUCGGCACUUUCCCUGAAGGGCUCAACUUCCUGUGUUUAAAAGCAGACCUAACAGGGGCUGGCGCAUAAGCAUCCCGGGAAAUACAAGAAGCUCAUGAAAGCAGGCAGCCUUUGCAAGAGACCUGACUUAUUUUCUAGGAGAAAAACAUCCUUUUAGGGAUUUUAUAAUUUAAGUUUAAGCAAUUAAACAUGUGCAUCAGUACCCAACUGCAGGUGUUUGAACAAAUGAGGGGAAAACGCUCAGAGGCUGCCAGGCUUAACUCACCAUUAUCUAAAAUGAAUUGUCUGUGUAAGUCAUCACAGCAGUUUGAAAAGCAUGAUCUUUCAUGUUUCAACCUCACAUCAAAAUUCUAAAUUAUAUUUAGCUAUGUGAGUGUCAGAUCAUUUGUUUCCAUUAUCAAUGCGAUGUUGGGCAAUUUGCAGACAGGAUCUGAAAGCAUCAUCCAUGACUUUCAUGGAACAGAAAAGAGCUUUCUGUUGCCACAGAUUUGCCCUAAGUUCAGUCCUCUGCCUUUGGAGCACUGACAGCUGUCACCAAACCCAAACCCCAGUCUGAACCCAUAGUGCUCAAGGUACUUUGGGAAAGCUAAUUCAGGAAAACCACAGGCUGGAGGGGUUGUCUUUGAGGUGUGUAUGUGUGUGUGUGUGUAUGCACAUUUGUUGGCAGUGUGUGGACUGAGCACAACAUAUAGAGAGGCAGUGUUCUCAGGACUUCUGUGCUCCUAUUUGGAAAAAUUCGGCAGAAGAAACAACAGCUCUGAGACACUCAGCCCCUUUCAUCAGCUCUUUCUUUGCUUAAUUAAAUACACAGUUCCCCCCAAAGCACUCUUUCCCUGAGGUCAUAGUGUCAGUCUUGUUUCAUGAGAAUAAUCUGCUAUGAAUAUUUACUCACUUUCAAAAACAAAAGAGGGUUAAAAAUCUGAUCCAAAAUGUCACUUACGACACCUACAACAGAAUCUACCCCUCUGCCUCCAGGCUGUCCUGACAACCCAUGUCCUCAACAGGAAUCUGCAGUCUGUUCUGGAAUCUGGUCUUUGGACUCAAAUGAUCUUACCUGGGUAGCUAACAAAGUCUUCUGUCUUGUUCCUGCUGUUAAAAAAUCCAAGUAUGUUCAGGCAUUAAACAAUGGAGAAGAUAAAGCAAAAAUAAUUUUUUAACUACAUCUUUCUUUUUCAAGUGGUGGUUAUGCUCAAGAGGUGAAAUUUAUUGUGGCCCUACCCCUGUUUUUAUAAGAGCUUUUUAUAGUAUAAGAACUAUAAUUAAGUUUCCUCUGAACUGUUUUAUUAAACUUAAGUUUUCAAGAAGAGAAUGAUAAAAUUUCUUAAACUACUAUGUUUUCAAGGGGAGGACAAUUUAUUUUUAUUGUUCUAGCAUAAGGAAAGAGAGAAUGAGAGGGAAAGUGUUUUUUAACCUGUAUCCUGAUUAGAAUUUUUUAAUGUUCAAAUUCCUGAUUAUAAACUGCAGUAAACAAUCAGUCAUUCAUUAACAAGCAACUAUUGAAAAGGCGAUAUUUAAAAGAGAAAAAAUAAAACAUGUGAUUAAAACUCUACACACGUCUUCACUUCAAGGCAAACGCAGUGGCCAUCUGGGUAUUUAGAAGGUGCCAAAUAUCAUUGGGAUCUAGAUUUAAUUCAUGUUAUAAAGAAAGCACUAUAUUUAAUUUGUUCACAAAAGACCUAGAACCUCGUAGAAAUGAUGGUGUUGAAGUGAACUUUUAACAUUAAAAUAAGGUCUUUAUUUUACAAUUUUUUAAAUAUGUGAUCAAUCACAAACAUGAACAAACUUUCAAUGCUCCAGUGUUCUACUCUGAAUGAGAAAAGUUGGAAAGAUCAUUUUCAGCUUUCAAAAAUUUUUGCUUUAAUUUUCUCUAUUUGGAAAUCUUUAAAAAUUAGUCAGUUUAAAAGUCCUGGCUGCUUUUAGUCAGAAGGGCCUAAGAAGAGACAAGACUUUUCCCAGGGUAUCCAAAGACAGAUCCAGAGAAUUUAAAGCCUGGACAUAUUACCUGGACUGAAGGCAUUCGUUGCUUGCUUUACUGGUGAGGACUGGGAAGACCUGACUUCCACAGUCCUCUUUCCAAGUGGCAGGAAACAGGACAUGCACUAUGCCAAGCAGCUUCCAGCACCCAUGCAGCACCCUUCCAGCACCUAUGCAGCAGUAUCCAUGCUCUGAAGUGAAGCCUGAACUCGCCACCUCGCCACUGAGGGCUCCCCAGCAGGGCAGGGAUGGGACCCUUCCUGGUAUCACAUGCUCGCUCGCCUCCUGAGUCCUGCAUGAACAACAGACUGGAUCCCUGUUUUUAGUCUGAGGACACUCAUGAGAUUUUUCCAAAAAUUUUCUUCAGGAGCAGACACUAUUGUGAAUACCACAUAAACAAGCUCUCCCUUUUCCAAUUCCUCUUUUGAAAAUGGUAGAGAAUCAGCAUAUCUGGCUCUAACUUAACUUGUAAAAAAAAUAAUAGAUUUUUUAAAAAGUUUCAGUUUAUCACACUCAACCACAGUUAUCUUCCAAUGCUACAAUGUACACAUAAAAAAUUAGUUUUCAAAGACUGCCACUUGUGCUUGUUAGGAAAAACUUGUAUCUAUCCAUCCUUUCUAUGAAAAAACUCUAUAAUGCUAAACUUCCAGAGUGACUCUGUACUAGAUAGCUUCACAAAACUACAAUCUUUGUGCUUACAAAGCUACUUCUACUAGGUAACAACAGAAGCACCGUCAUGAACCCUAGUUUCUGAAUAGGUACAUAGGAUUGACACAUGCCAGGCUUUAGUUAGACUCUCACGGUGUUUGUCCCUUUACGUCACGGCACAUCAUACCCUGCAGCUGCCUUUGUGUGCUUAUUUGCUGCCAGAUUCCUCUGCUAGUGUGUAAGUGCCAUGAAGGCAGGAUUCAUGCCUACGCUGUUCUUGUGUAAGAACUGCUAAUGCCAGGGCCGGGUGUGGGGGCUCACACCUGUAAUCCCAGCACUUUGGGAGGCCGAGGUGGGCGGAUCACCUGAGGUCAGGAGUUUGAGACCAGCCUGGCCAACAUCGUGAAACCCCAUCUCUACUAAAAAUACAAAAAUUAGCUAGGUGUGGUGGCGGGCGUCUGUAAUCCCAGCUACUCGGGAGGCUGAGGCAGGAGAAUGGCUUGAACCCGGGAGGUGGAGGUUGCAGUGAGCCGAGAUUGGGCUACUGUACUCCAGCCUGGGCAACAGAGCGAGAUUCGGUCUCAAAAUAAACAAAAACAAACAAACAAACAAACUGCUAAUGCCAGAAAGAGAGGAAGGAGAAGGAAAGGAAGAAAAAAAUAAGGUAGAAGGGAGAGGAAAGUGACAGAAACAACAGAGAAGAAAAGGGAAGGGAGGAGGGAAAGAAAAGAGGCAGAAACAGCCACUACACUGGUUUUAGUAAAUAGGAGUGACUUUGCAGUUUCAUUAGAUUUUUCAUUCAUACAGUUAAAGGUUCCUUGUAGCCAUGAUCUCAUCAAAUCUCACAAUAACCCUGAGUGACCUUUUAACAUUAAACUAAAAUGUUUACUUAUGGCAGAGAUUAGGAAUGACUAGUUUCUAGAUCUUCCACAUUUUAUCUGUACAUCACUCAUGACAGCAGGUAGUUCUGAGACGGACCUCUAAAGUGAUCUGUGUGUUCAUACAGGUCUGUGUUUCUGUAAGUCAACAGUUUAAGAAUUGUGAAAGGCCAGGCGCAGCAGCUCAUGCCUGUAAGCCUAGCACUUUGGGAGGCCAAGGCGGAUGGAUCACUUGAGGCCAGGAGUUCGACCAGCCUGACCAACAUGGCGAAAGCUUGUCUCUACAAAAAAUACAAAAAUUAGCCGGGUGCGGUGACCCACGCCUGUGAUCCUGGCUACUCGGAAGGCUGAGGCAUGAGAAUCACUUGAACCUGGGAGGUGGAGACUGCAGUGAGCCGAGAUCGUGCCACUGUACUCCAGCCUGGGUGACAGAGUAAGACCCUGUCUCAAAAAAAAAAAAAAAAAAAAAUUGUGAUAAAUGCCCAGCAUUUCCUUCAUUUUUAUUCACUCAACAUGUCUUAUAACCACAAAGCCCAGAUUUGAACCUUGUAUAUACUCAUGGAAAGGAGAACCAGUUCUCAAGCAACUCUUCUCAUUUUUACCAACCACAUAAACAUGUAGCUUCCGGUAAAACAAUACUUCUCAUUUUACAAGUUCAUUAAUCAAUAAUGAGCAGGCUCAGUGGGGGCACAGGACAACCUGAGCCUGACAGCGAGGAAGGCGGAUUUUGUCACGGAGGGAGGGUUCUCAUGAAACUCUGGAUCUCCCAGCUAGUUGGGGGGCACUAACAAGGGCUGCCCAGAGAGCACGCAAGGUCUCUCCAAUCAUGCCACAAACCCCGCAAUGUCAGGACAAAGGCACCGGUGUUGACAGAGACCUUGGAGUUCAUCAGAGAGGUGACAUCACCUGCCUAGGUCUCUACUUCCCUGCUCUUUUCCCCAGCAAAACCAACCACACUUUGCAUUCCCCAUCAUUAUUAAUCCUCCAAACAAGCAACCCGUCCACAUAGGAACAAGGAACCUGAGGUGAAGUGAGCCGAACUGGCUUACCCAAGCUCACACAGCGCAGGGCCGUCAGCAUUGGGAGGCAGCCCUGGGUCCUAUAGGCCUCAUGCACGGCCUGCCUUGCUGUCGAGAAAGUCCCAGCCACCGACACAGGCUGCAGGAAACGGCACCAAAGUCACUUGCAGCAGCGCAGAGAAAGUGUGAACAAAGAACCUUUUUUUUUUUUUUUUUUGGGAGAUGGAGUCUCACUCUGUUUCCCAGGCUGGAGUACAGUGGGGCACGAUCUCAGCUCACUGCAACCUCCAUCUCCCAGGUUUAAGUGAUUCUCCUGCCUCAGCCUCCCAAGUAGCUGGGAUUACAGGCGCCCACCACCACCAUACCCAGCAAAUUUUUGUAUUUUUAGUAGAUGGGGUUUUGCCAUGUUGGCCAGGCUGGUCUCGAACUCCUGACCUCAGGCGAUCUGCCCGACUUGGCCUCCCAAAGUGCUGGGAUUAUAGGCAUGAGCCACCGCGCCUGGCCUUUUAUUUCUAAGGGAAAUAAAAGUCCCAGCAGAGCAUUCUAGUUUUGAAGCAUCUCACCUAGGAACACUAACAGACAGCAAAUUUAACCUGCUGAGUGCAGCCCUCAUUUGGUCCAUUUUUCUUGCCACAACUGCCUACUGCCCUUCUGUCAAGGCAGAGGCAGACAUAAACCACUACCAUCUGUGGCUGCCCUGGGAACUGUGAGAACUCAUGGAAAUAAUGCGUCCCCUUGUGACUUCACAUCGUGCACCUCCUGUGACAACCCUCCCCUCUGACAAUUACACUCACACCCAGUUCCCACGUGAACACGCUGAGUCCAGCCUUGGAGAUGCAGCUUUUGUCUUGCUGAAACCUUCCAGUUAAAUUUCUCCAUCAAUUUUUCAAAUAGUAUUAUUAGCUGAGGGACUAAAAUCUGCCUGGCGUUCUUCUGAUGACAAAGGUAACCCAUCCCUCCCUGUGCUCCCCAUCCUCACGUUGUUUCUAAUUCAGAUUUUCUUCUCCCUUCUCCUGAAUACCUGCAUCUUCUUCCUGACUGACAUGGCUUUAGGAAACACAGCACAUUCACAAACAUCUGAAGCCAACUGCAAGGCACCCGUCACUCAGCGAGAAAAGCAGAAAGGUGCCAAUUCAGAUGGCUGAGCUACUUCGCCUGGGUCCCGACCUGUAUCACCACAGGGUCACAGAAAUGGAACCUUCUCCGUCACACCUCCUGAUGGCAGUCAGCUGUGACCCGCUGAAUCCAGGACAUCAUGCAUUCCAGUUUCAUUUGCGAGAACAUUUCCAGGUCCGGCUGAAGCCUAGUGGCUCCAGCAGAGGUCUCAACCCCUUUGGGAUGCUCAGUGGGAGACAGAAUCAAGGGCCAAUGAUCCAUGACCUAGUCCUAGUGCCCAUGUCAGUUUGUCAAAGGCCCUCAGAGCAGAUUGUGUUUUCCCUGGCGGGGGCUUGACUUCUUUGCUUUAAAAAGGAUUCUUAAGUAUUUAUUGCAGUAAAAUUAACCACCUUCAAAUUUCUGCCAGAUCCCCUGGAGGUAUAUAGCUUAUUAACACAAAACAAAUGUGACACUUGAAAGGCAGGAGACUUGGUUUCUAUUCUCUGGCCCACUACUGACUUAUUGGGUGGCUUCAGGCAAAUAAGUGAAAUCAAGAAGACACCAUCUUCAACAAGCACAGAGUGGGCACCUGGCAGGUGAGCAGUGCCCUGUGAGGUCUGGGGCUGGGUUCGGUGGUGAAACUAGGUCAGCACACACAGCCCUUUGCUGGGGGCCCACUGCCUGGGGUAGGAUUUUUGUAGCUGGGUUCAAGGUGGACAUGCUGAAAUGUGACCCUAAAAUGUUUGUACUCUUGAAGCUGAAGGAGUGGGAAGAAACCUGUCAUUUAAAGAAGGACAGUAUGGCCAGGUGUGGUGGCUCACACCUGUAAUCUCAGCACUUUGGGAGGCCAAGGUGGGAGGAUCACUUGAGUCCAGGAGUUUGAGACUAGCCUGGGUAACAUAGGGAGACCACAUCUCUACAAAACAUUUAAAAAUUAGCCAGGCAUGGUGGGAUGUGCCUGUAGUCCCAGCUACUCAGGAAGUUGAGGCAGGAGGAUCACUUGAGCCCAGGAGGUCAAGGCUACAGUGAGCUAUUGUCAUGCUACUGCACCCCAGCCUGGGUGACAGAGUGAGACCCCGUCUCAAAAAAAAAAAAAAAAAAAAAAAAAAAAAAAAAAAAAAGAAGGAAAGGAAGGAAGGGAGGGAGGGAGGGGAGAAGGAAGGAAGGAGAAGGCAGGCAGGAAAUCAAUAUGACAGCAUAGCACUGGAGCUAAGAACACACCUUCUAGAAGCAGACUCUAUGAAUUCAAAUCCUGGGUCUACCAUUUAUAAGCUGUACUUUCCUCUGUAAAAUAUGAAUCUACAGUACCUACUUCUCACAGAUUGUUAUAAAGAUGAGAUGUGUUAAUAUAGAUAAAGUAAGCACUCAGUGAAUAUGAGGCAUUAACCAGAACCCAACAAGGUGCCAUCAUCAAAUAUAAUAAUUGAGUGCAUAACUUUUUUCAGUUUACAAAGCAAAUUUACAUAUAGCAUUUCUUUUGGAUCUCACAAAACUCCAUGAGAGCUGGCAAAAUACUUCCCCCCAUUUUCUUUGAAGCUCAUACUCUCCUUGUUUACUCCCUUACAAGUCACACUUGAACAAAGUGACCAGGCAGAUUUGGGAAAAAGCAAACAAACAAAAAACACCAGAUAGACCUUUAAGAAAUUAAAAAACAAAAAACAAAAAACAAAAAACUGUUAACACAGAAAUCUCAGUUGAUGGGCUAAAUGGCCCAUCAUUCUAAGAAUAGUUGGGAAGACAAUGCUUUAGAUGCCAUCUACACGCUGUUAGUUCCAUCUCAGUCAUCUCUCCUGAAUAACAGCAUCCACCUGCCUGCUCAUUUCCAAUGGAUUUCUAAUAGAGAUCUCAGACUCAACAUGUCUAUAAAAAGAGCUCCUUGUUUCCCACCCCCCCUCAAUAAAUAAGAUAGUGGAUAAAUUAUGAUAUAUUCACACACUAGAAUAUUCUGGCAAUAUGAAGGAACUGUAGCUAUUCCUGAAAACAUGGAUGAAUUUUGCAAAUAUAUGGAGGAAAAUCUCAAGUUCCAAAAAGACCAUGCAAAGUCCGAUACUAUUUUUAUAUGUCUCAAAAUACCUUUAGCAACACACAUUUACUCAUUACACUGUGAUAAAAAUAUAUGUUUGUUUAAAAAUCAGGAUAAUUAUAAAUACAAAUUUCGGAAUAGUGGGAAAGCAGGAAAAUGCUAGGAAUAAGAUACUUAGCGAGAUCUCCAAGUAUUUGUAAUGAGCCAAUUCUUAAGUUGGAUGGUGGUUCACUGGAGCACCUUUAAAAUUGUGCUUUAGAGUUUACUUGUAUGUUACAUACCAUCUUUUGUAUAUAUCAAAUAAUUAUAAAUUAAAAAGACAGAAAUGCCAUCCACAAAAAUGAACUGUGCUGAAGUAAUUCAUAUUUCAAAACAAUAAGCUAAGCAAUGAAGGAAAGUAACUCUUGCUAAAAAUAUGAGGAAGUUAAUUUAUGCUAAUAAAGUUGGUUAUGGAAUAUAAUUACUUGAGCAAGGAUGACUAAAAUAUGUCUAUACUAUGUGUAUCAAAUGCCAAGGGGGAAAUGACCAGGGUAUUUACAGAUCAGAACAAAUGUAUUUAUGAAGAAUCUUUUUUUUUUUUUUUCUAUUUUGCAGACUUUCUUUUUUAAAAGCAAAAUAAAUUGACAUGACUUGUUCAGGGUUAACUGUUUGGCAGGUGGAUGAUCUGUGGCCAUCCAUGAUGAGAUCACCUCCCUGCCCCGCUGGCCCCCAGCCUCUAGAAGUCAGGGCUUCUGAGGCCCAGAAGCUCAGCGCCACACCUGUUGAAGGCCAGUGAUGUCAGAGUUACUCUUCCUUCCUCCAGCAGCACUGACAGCAGUUUAUUGUACGCAAUUUCUAGAACUCAGAUGUUCUAGAAGGAAGCAAACAUAUUCUGAGAUCACAGACUAUGACUAUGCUCUCAGAAUAUGUUCUAGAACACCUAAGUUGCAAUUCUUAAAAUCAACACAGCGUAAGACUGCUUUAGGAGGAAGUGAUCAAGCUCAAAGCAACCUAGGCAUGAUGUGCCUUGUUUGUUUAUCUGUUUGAACAGGAAUAAAACGAAAAGAGGCCUGUGUAUUUCUCGUAUUUUUAUAUAAGAGCUGGAGCUAUUUGAACGGCUAAGGAGAAGAAGAUAGUUUGAUUUAGAUUUGGCAUGGGUUUAGGGGAAGAAACGUCUCUGUAGCUGGUCCUAAAUAUUAUGGUAACUUGGACUGAAUCAGUCUCCAAGGGAGAAGCUGCCACAUGUUAUAACAGAAGCCACUGGGCUUGGCAAGAAACAAAUGAAAAAAAGUACAACGAAAGCAACCCCACUUCUCCAUCGUGGCGGGGAUGAGCUAGGCAGGACGACUGCAUGUCUUCCUUUCCUAUGCCUGACCAAAUCCAGCACUGCCCUUUCAAAUCAGUCUUCAUCACAUUCCAAAGAAUACAAAAUACGCAAGUUAAUUUUAAUUUCCAAUGAAUUCUUCAGGAGAAAUUUUUCUUCCUCCUUCCUAAAAAAAAGAAUAAAAAAUGCAGAAUAGAGAUUCAAAAUGAGGGGUGGCAGCAAAAAUUCUGACUCGCAGAAGGUUGAGAGGGUGCCUUUUUCAAAUGUAUUUAUUUUACAGUUCCAAGAAGGUAAGACUACCUUCUGUUUUGAUUCAUGCUUCACCAUUCCCCACUUAAAUUUUUAAAAAUUACAUCCUUGCCUAUGUCUGUCUUGCUAUUUGACUGGUCACUCCCAAACAUAAACUGCCCUAGUUUGAAGCUUCCCAAAGCCAAGCAAAGGUGACAGACUAGUACAAAGAAGGCCGCUAGUGAGUUUUUACUGAGUGAAUCUACAUUGUUCCAUGGCCUUGGUCUGGAUAUAGAUUCUAAAGCUUCUUACACUGACACAAAUGGAGUUUCUAGCUCUCCAGGUAAUUUUCGGUGAAAGAAAAUUAUAGAAGAAGGCAUAAACCUUGGCUCACAAAAUAAAUACGCACUCAGACCCAUGUACUUCAUGAAACAUACAAGCCCAGAGCUAGACCAUGCCAUCUGUUUUAUGAGGAAAAAAAAUAAAUUCACAUGAUUUACUUACUUUAGCUCUGCCAGAAAUCAUCAGCAUCUACUUGCACAACUAAAGACAAGAAGACAAGGCAGAUGGAGGCUAAACACCGAAUACUGCCUAAUUUUGAUGUAUAUUUUUGGGUCAAACCUCUUAUAAUUUACUAUUUCCAAGAGGGAAAAUAAGCUUAUAUAAUGGCACUGAAUCAUUGGCUUCCAGUUAUGGGAAGCAAAGGAAAUUAACCUCAAGGGGAAAAAAAUGCUACAAAUAUAAAUAAUAUAGUUUCUGUUUACGAAGCAGUUUUUCAUGUACUGCCAUUUCUUUCUUUUUUUAAAGAAGAUAUGUUUACAAAAUAGGUGACCAACUAAGGUAGGUGUGUGUGAAGAGAGGCAGUGAGAGAGAGGGGAUCCUGAAAUUCUUUUCAGUAAAGGAAAAAGAUAAUUUUAGGGAUGUUUUUAAAAAUAUAUAACUUGAUGAAUUUUUUAUAGCAUGAGUAUUAUUUAGGUGCUGUCCUAGACCAGUGUGGCGUAUAGGCUAUAGAAGAUUGGUCCUGAAUGCUAAUGGCAGGGAUGAGUGUAAGAUCAUCAAAACUUAUUUGUGGGAAGGAGAGCUACUGACAGAGCCAUGUAUUACAUGACUCCAGUCUGGGCUGAUAGGCCUGCCUUAAAGCAUAGCUAGAGGGCAGGCACGGUGGCUCAUGCCUGUAAUCUCAGCACUUUGGGAGGUUGAGGCGGGCAGGUCACUUGAAGUCAGGAGUUUGAGACCAGCAACAUGGUGAAACCCCAUCUCUACUAAAAAUACGAAGAUUAGCCGGGUGUGGUAGCAUGUGCCUGUAGUCCUAGCUACUCAGGAGGCUGAGGCAGGAGAAUCGCUUGAACUGGGGAGGCAGAGGCUGCAGUGACCCAAGAUUGUGCCACUUGCACUCCAGCCUGGGUGACAGAGUGAGACUCCAUUUCAAAAAAAAAAAAAAAAAAAAAAAAGCAUAGAUAGACAAAAUGUCCUGGAAUCACUAAAAUGGAUAAAUUAUGAUAUCCAUAAAGUGGAUAAGUUAUGAUAUAUAUUCACACACUAGAUACACACAUUAUGAUAUAUUCAUAUAUAUCGUGAAGGCUAAACCCACAUGAGUCCAUAACACACUCACAGGUCUGUGCCCUUUGGCCCUGGCCCUCUCGCCAUUCGGAAGCGAUCACAGAGAACACAAUGAGUCUGUUAUUCGCUCAAUAUACAGUCAUGUGCAGCAUAACAUUUCAGUCAAUGGUGCACCGCACCCAUGAUGGUGGGCCCGCAAGAUUACAUGGAGCUGAAAAUUCCUAUUGCCUAGUGACACUGUAGCCACUGUAACACACUGCAGGGCUUUACUUUUUCUAUGUUUAGGUAUGUUUAGAUAUAUGAGCACUUACCAUUGUGUUACAAUGUAUUCAGUACAGUCGUACUGUACGCCACACAGGUUUGUGGCCUAGGAGCAAUAGGGCCAUAUCAUAUCGCCUAGGGAUGUAGUAGGCUAUACCAUGUAGGUUUAUGUAUAUACACUCUAUGAUGUUCACACGAUGACAAAACUGCCUAUCCCCAUUGUUAAAUGACACAUGACUGUAUGUGCAUUAAGUACCUACUGUGUGUCAGGUAGUGUACUUGGCAGGUGCUGAAGUAUGGUGGUGAAUCAAUGGAGAAAGUCCCUUAUGGAGUUCAUAGUCUAUGGGGAAGAAUGGUGAGCUCCAGUAUAGAUACCCAGUAUAUACAGAGAGAGGUCCAGUACAGACACCCAGUAUAGACAUAGCCAAGUGACCAAGAGCACUGGCUUGGAGUCAUUCAGAUGAGGUUUAAUCCUUGGUUCUGCUACUUGCUUUGGAAAUGUCACUCCCUAAUCACUGCUUACUUUAUAUGUAAAAUGGGAUGGUAAUGCCAGCCUUUCAGGGCUAUUGAGAAGAUUCCAUGAGACAAUGUUUAUAAAGCACUUACAACAGCAUCUAGCACCCAACAGACCUAAUAAAUGGGAGUUAUGAUGAUUGUUCUCUCAAAGAUCCAAGGGACACACACAAAGAGGUUUGCUAUUUUCUCCCCCAGAACACACCCCAAAAUGCUGAACCAGGAGCCAACUCAUAUCACCACUUUAUCACGCUCCUGUAUGACCCUGGGCAAAUCAGAUGCCCACCAGUGUCACUAGGCUAGACAGCAAAGUCUAGUUGCUAAAAAUAUACUCCAGCAGGUGGUCUACAGUGUUGCUGUAAUGGGAAUGUUUUCUGUUUUUCAAGGAGCUAAGAAGCAUUAUCGGAUGGUCUCUUGAAAAAUAACUUAUAAGCAUUUUCUCUUUCAAUACAAGCCCUACCAAGAGCACACUACCAUAAUAAAUAUUCUGGACAAUGGUUCCAAAGGGAGAGAUGAAAAGCUGUGCUCGGGGCAUUAAGCUGAGAAGCGGUGGAGUAGUCAAUAGCACAACCUCUGCAGCCAGGCUGCCUGAGUCUUCAGUCCAGCUCUGUCACUCACUAGCUGUGUAGCAAUGACCACAUCGCUCACUGGACUCAUUGCUUAAAAUCUGUAAAAUGGGAUAGUAUUAUUCCCUAUCUCAUUAGGUAGUUGUAAGGAUUAAAAUCACUAACACCUGUAGGGCAACUAAAACAGCACCUGACAUACAGAGAACAUUCCAUAAACAUUACCAAUAAUUACGCAUGGCAAACUCAAUAACUUUAUUACCUUGCUAAUAAAAACAUGAGGGCCAAAUAGCAAGAAAGCGACUGAACUACACCAGAGGUUUGAAACUUGAGUUUUCUCCUUGGCUCUCCCAUCAACUGUCUGCAUGACUGUGGGUACAUCACUUCCCUUCUAUAUUUCACUAUUCUCAUCUAUACAAAAAGCAAUAUACGCACACACCAAGAACACCUAGAGAAGCCUGAUGCAGCUUUCUGCUAAUACCAACUGGAGCCAAACAACUUAAAUUUAUUUAUCUUCCUAUCUGCAUUAGUCAGGGUUCUCCAGAGAAACAGAACCAAGAGGGAGAGAGGGAGAGGAAGAGGAAGAGGGAGAGGGCGAUUGAGAGGGAGAUUGAGAUUGAGAGAGAGAGAGACUGAGAUUGAGAUUGAGAGAGAGAGUGGUGGGGGUGGGGGUAGAUACUGAUAUUUACCUUAAGGAACUGGCUCAUGCAAUUACAGGGACUGACAAAUCCACAAUCUUCAGGGCAUGCUGGUGACCAAGGGAAGAGUUGAUGUUGCAGUCUUUUUUUUUUUUUUUUUGAGACAGAGUCUCACUCUGUCGCCCAGGCUAGAGUGCAGUUACAUGAUCUCAGCUCACUGCAACCUCUGCCUCCUGGGUUCAAGUGAUUCUCAUGCCGCAGCCUCCCAAGUAGCUGGGACUACAGGCGCCUGCCACCAUGCCCAACUAAUUUUUGUGUUUUUAAAUAGAGACAGGUUUUUGCCAUGUUGGCCAGGCUGGUCUUGAACUCCUGAUCUCAAGCGAUCCACCCAUCUCAGCCUCCCAAAGUGCUGGGAUUACAGGCGUGAGCCACCGUGCCAGGCCGAUGUUGCAGUCUUGAGUCUGAAGGGAGACUGGAGACAGAGUUCCUUCUUCUUUAGGGACUUCAAUCUUUUUCUCUUAAGGCCUUCAACUGAUGAUAUAUGAGGCCUACAUACAUUACAAAGGAUAAUCUGCUUCACUCCUUCUACUGAUAUAAAUGUUAAACCUCAUCUAAAAAACUACCUGCACAGCGACAUCUAGACUGGUGCUUGACCAAGUAUCUGGGUACUGUGGCCUCGCCAAGCUGAUACAUACAAUUAGCCAUUACACCAUCCUUUCAGAAGGGGUGAUGCCCACACCGAAGGAAAAAACCUCUAGACUCCACAGCCAUUUAAUCUUCUAUUGGAGACCAUAAUCGAGGCAAGGAAUUCAGAUGAGGCUACUCUUUUCUUCACAGGUGAAUUCCAAGCGUCUCACAGCUUCCAGGGCAUUUCUUGUUCUGGUUCCUGCUCACCUGUCUUAUCUCCUUGCUCUUCCCUCCAUUCCAGCCACACGUGGUUUUUGGUUUAAAGACACUGUGUUCUUAUCUUGCUCUGCCUGAGUACGCGCUACUUCCACGGCCUGGGGUAUGCUGUUUUCCCACUUUUUAACUGGGUCCUCAUCAUUUGAGUCUCAUGUUGAGAACCACAACUGCCUCUAGAGAGCUUCCCUGACCUGACAAGGUUAGGCCAGUAAGUUCCCACAGCCAAUCUGCACACCUCCUGCCUUACACUCAAGCCACGCCAUCAGGGCUCCCUCCCAGCCUGGCAGCUCCGUGAAGGACACACCUCUCUUGUUGGUCACAGCAUUCAUGCUGCCAAGCUGGUCCACGAAGACACAACAAAUAGCUGCUGAAUAAAUAAAUGAGGAUGCAGAUGGUUCUUAAGCCUUGACCUUCAAUCCUCCCAAUGUCCUUGAGAUUCGGCUCCAUGUCUCCAACCACUUGCUGGACACCUGAAGGCGGGAAUCUCACCAGCACCUACACUGAAUAUGCACAGAGUGGACAGAGCUUGUCUUUGCUCUCACGUACGCUGUCUUCCAAGCCUAGUACAGUAGAAAGAACACAGGCUUGGGGGUCAGGGAGGCCUGUACUGAAGUCCCUGUUCUAGAUCCUGUUACAACUGUACAAUUUUAGACCAAUUGCUAAUUUUCUCUGACCCUUAGUUUUCUCGUCUCUGAUAUAAGGAUGAAAAUACCAACCCACAAGAUUAGGAGGAGAUUAAAUGAGAUAAUAGCUAUGCAAUGCCUGGCAGAUGGCAUAGAAAUAAUGAAUGGCACCUGGGUUCAAAGCUCUGGGGGCAUUUUUGCUUCCCAUCGGCCAACCCCUAUUAUCUAGGCAGUUCCUAAAUCCCAUCUCAUAAAUUCAAUUUCUCCAUCUAGUGGCCUUCCCCUCACCCAGGCCCUCCCCACCUCCCUCCUGGACCACAACAGCAGCUCUAAAAGGCUUCCCAGCUCUGGCUAUUUCACAGUCCAGAGGCACCCACAUGCUGAUCCCCGCAAGGCCUCUUCAGGAUGGGGACUCUAGCCACUCAAAUUCUUCCAUUGCUCCCCAGUAACUUAAGUUUAAAUCAUUUAGUCACGUGCCAUUCAAGGCCCUCUGGGUUCUGGCCUCCAAGGACCUUUGCUACCUGAUCUUCUCCUUAGUGGUUUACACACAUCAUUGCCCAGCAACUACAAAUCGAUUCCUGCCCACUCUGCACCCCGGCAUUUCCCAUCCCUACCUAUGCCUUUGCUCAUGUUUCCUUCAACGAGGAUACUCCAAGACCUCAAGUCCAACAUUACCUUUCUUUCAAUGUCUGGCUCAAAGGCUCUUUAUCCAUGAAGCAUUUCUUGAUCAUCCCAGCCACAGAUAAACACACAACCUUUCUUUUCUAUGAACUUGUGGUAUGUUUAUCUCUCUACCUUUUAUACAUUUCUCUUUCUCUCUGCAUUUAUUCUUUGUUUUUCUUUUUUCUAAGACAUCUUGUUAUAGCAUCUCUGCAUUUAUUCUAAUUUUAUCUGUGCACAGAACCUUAGCUUCAAGCUCCUUGAAGGGUAGCAUCGUGUCCCAGCCUACACUGUCACACUCAGGAGAAGCACCCAGUAGAUGGUGGCUCUGUAUCUACCUACAGAGUGCCACUGAGGAGCACAGGCCUUCAGGUCUGUAGCCCAUCAGCUGAGCCUUCGCAUCAGCUCCUAGAACAGUGCCUGGCAUAGAGCAACACCCAGAAAUCAUUGUUAAAUGAAAUUAUCCACAAGGGAGUCACCUAGUGUCUACAUGAUAGAAAUUCUUUCCCUGUAGAAUAUAACAUGAAAGGGGGUGUGAAGAAGCCUUCUCUCUCCCCAUACUUCCAGAUGCAAGAAAGCUUCACGUUAACUGUCUCCCACAAGCUAUAUAGCUACUCUCGGCAAUAAACAUGACAUAUAAUACUUUGGUGCAUUUGGCGUGUCAAAAAUAUUCAAUUUUAACAUGUCAGAAAGAAUCAUUUUUCAAAAACAGUCUCCUUUGGAGAAGAGAGUUAUUCAAACAAUAUCCAAAACCUUUUUGGAUCUCACAUUUUGAAGAGGUCCAACUUCCGUUGGUUAAAAAAAAAAGUCUAUUAUAUAAUGAAAGCCUUACAACUGACUGAGAAUUAUAGAAUUUCAGAAAUAAAUCCCAGUCUGUUCAUCCUUAAAAUAAGAAGCUAUUUUUCAGGGCUUUCAUGUCCAAAAUUAUAUUAUGUAAGCCACUUCAUAAAUCAUGUACACAACAAUUCUCAUUUUUCCAUUAAAUCUCUAUUUUGAAAUUUAAUUCACUCAUCCAUUUUUUCAGAGAUGGGAUCUUGUUCUGUCGCUCAGGCUAGAGUGCAGUGGUGUGAUCAUAGCUCACUAUAGCCUUCAACUCCAGGGCUCAAGGGAUCCUCCUGCCUCAGCCUCCCAAGUAGCUAGGACUAUAGAUGCAUGCCACCAUGUGUGGCUUAUUUUUUUAUUUUAUUUUAUUUUUUUGUAGAGAUGGGGAUCUAUGUUGCCCAGGCUGGUCUUGAACUCCUGGCCUCAAGUGAUCCUCCCACCUCAGCCUCCUAAAGUGCUGGGAUCACAGGUAUGAGCCACCGUGCCCUGUCUUUUUAUUUUGACCCCCUCUUGGCUCUAACAGCACACGUGUACCUCUGUUACAGGACAUCAGUCUACAGUGCUACCUCUUUUUAUAGUCAUUUAUCUCACUAACCUGUGUCUUUCUGAAAUGCCAGACCCAUGUUCACUUUUGAAUCUACAGUACCUUCUACUGAAAUGUAGUAGCUGGCUCAGUCCAUGUUUAUAACAUGAAACAAUGACUUGAAUCAGUGGUUUGAUCACCUACCAUAUUCAUGAGACCUAACUAUUGGCUCCCUCCUACCCUCAAAGGACAGAGAUUUCCCACCGCUGUGGAUAGUCAAAAGAAGAUAGAAAGUUCUUAAGUGCUUCAUUUAAUGUGUUUAUUUAGUCCCCUUGAAAUAAAUACUGAUGGGUAAAACCAAAUUAAAUCACAUGCUAAAAAGGAUAGCCAGUCAAGUACCUAGCUGAGUAUCUAAAAUUAGUACACACACACACCAAAAACAAAAACAAAAGCACGGAAAAAGCCAAAAAGCCCUGCCUAUUCAGCCCUGUGUACCCUUCACUGACUAGGAAGUGACCCACUUUUCAGGUAUCAUCCAAUCAUACAAACUGGGCAUCAGUGUCGUCAGAAGCCCACACAUGUUCAUCUCAAGACUCAACAACAUAAACACGUCUAUGUUUCCAAGAAAGCUCGUUGCAAGUUGGUGACAAAUUUGGAAAAAAAAAAAAAAAAAAAAGCUCUAAAUAAAAUUACAGACAUGACUUUCACAUUUGAGCUCUCCAAAUAUAUUGUUAUGGGUUUAAGAAAUACCACACUUCUGUGUCACAAAGAGAGUUCUAAAAACCAGUAUGUUCUGAGAAGUCCAUACCUGCUACUUGGGAACUAAACAAGGCUUGUAACAACUGAAUCUCUUUAGAAGACUGUUAACACCUUGCUUAAGUGUGUAAAAAUUGAAAAUAAACAUAACUGAAGAUUUGAGAAUUUUUCAGUUAUAACACAGUUCUUAUGAAAGAUGGAAAAUAUUUCAUAUUCUCUUAUAUAUUUAUAAAAACAGCAGAUAUUUCUUCUAUUUACAGAGGUGGAAACGAAGGCAAGCAAAUGCAGUCAUUUUGUUGGAGGACUAUUCUACAUUUCCAAAGCAAUGAAGACAUGACCCCAAACUAAACUCUCCUGCAACGUAUUCUUACAAGAAAAAGGCUAAAAGCCUUAUUGCUUAACAAAAGCUAAACAAUGUGAAUUAUUUCAAUAACUGGUCCAAAAAGCUGCAGCAGGCCACUGAGUAACUUGGACAUCUGUUGCCAUGCUUGUUCAUGCUUUCCCCUGAGAUGACAUAUAUGUAUCAUCAUUAAUAGGUGUCCUUGAUUUUGAUAAGAACAAUAUUCCUGUACAUCCCCACAUCUCCUGUACAUAGCCAUGUGCUGCCAUCUUCUGAUUAUGCCCAGUGGAGUGUAAACAUUUUUUCAUGAAAAAGCAAAAUCAAUAAAAGUAAAACUCCCCACUUUUCCUGCCAGUAGUGCCCUUGGUAACAAACAGGGCAGAGACACCAAUACAGAGAUUACAAUACUCUCAGACAUAAUUCAAGCAGAACUUUAAAUGGAUCAGUGCAUGUUAUAAACUUUCUUUUUUUUGCAAGUGCCAAGCGUGCUUAUGCUACUAUUCAUUCUGAGAUAGACAGAUCAUCAAUGACCUUCUGGGUCACUGACUAGGGAGAAAGCUGACUAUAAAAAAGAGUGGGAGAAAAAUAAAGUGGGGGUUGCUUCCUUCCACCCUAGACCCCCUACUGCCUUGAAUGAAAGAAGACAGAUGGCAGCCACCUUUCCCUUUAAUUAGGAGGGGCAGCUUAGAAGGGACAGUCCUGCUCACUUGGCACUAUCUUUAACAAGACUGUUUAGAUGGCAAUGCUCUGCUCAUUCGCCCUUCUUUCAAACUGUUCUUAAUUUUUCACUUACAAACUGAAUUUCCGUAAAUUUAAUGGUGAAACAAUUACAGCUCUGACUACAACGCUAUACAUAAAUGACACACUUAAAGAUGUUUGCUGAAUUAAAAAUUCACAGAUAUUCCUAUAAAGAGGCUGGAAUGUUUCAAAUGAAAUACAGCUACCUCCAGUCCUAUCAGCACCACUUUGAGAUAAAAUAUGAAUUCCCAGGACACAGAAGCUCUAACUUAAAUUCACAACAUUCCAUACUAGACAUAGAAGUAACACCCCUGGUUUCUGCUUUCCAGUUCCACACUCCAGUCGUGCUCCCACCUUUUACCUUCAAGGUAUUGCUGUUCAAGUUGACAAAAAAAAAAAAAAAAAAAAAAAAAAAAAAUUCUACAGUAAAAAUCAGUCCUAAAUGUAGAAGGGAAGAUCAUUUAAUAACAAAUCACAAACCACUCUUCAUCUCUAUUUGCUCUGCAUUUUCAGAAACCAUAGAACUUUAUAUUACAAGUUAAUCAAUCCACAUCACAUCUCUGGAGAGAGGAUCAGCAUAAAAAAACAAACAAAAUGGAAAACAGGAGCCAUGUGUCAGAAUUAGGCUAGUGUCACAGGAUCUUCUAUGGAGGUGACGAAGCCUCUUCAUUAUUUUCUAGAGGCAAUUAAGCACAUUUUCCAUAAAUCUACAUGGCACAAAACUUUCUAACAUGAAAGUAAAGUUUAGUUGCUGUUGACAGGGUUAGGUCUCUAUACAUUGUAUCUCAUUUUUAUAUUAAAUUUGUUUUUAUCAACAUCAUUAAAUAAUUGAUAUUCUCGCAGCUCUUUUCCAUUUCCUGAUGCGUUUUUAAAUUGCAGCCUCUUGUCUGUGACACCUUCCCACCUAGUUUCUGCACAAUUCCUGCACAAGGACCCUCUGCGUUAACAUCGGUCCUGGGGAAACCCACUGUGCCUGCUUCCAAAUGGAAAUCAGGGCGGCGAACUGGGGCUGUUUUGCUAGAGGUGCUCCUGGUCAUACCAUGCAAAACGCCUUGUCUGUGUCAUAGUCAUUUACCUAAUGGCAAAGUUCUUGGACCAUUUAGAAACAAAACAAAACACUUUUUGUUUUCUCCUUGAUAAUAAAUUUCAAUCUCUUCCUAUCUCUAAACAGCAAGCCGGCACACUAGAUAUGGGAAGAGGGAAAAGAUAAAAGAAGCAAUCAGCUAUUGAAUAAACUAUAUCCUACUUCCCAAUGAAGGGGAAAAAACUUGGCAUUUGCCGGAUAUUGAGUGUCUAAUAACAUUAGCAAGAAAAAACACGCAGGAGAGACUAACAAAGAAACAAACAGAACUUACUUUGUUUCCCAGCACAGUAAGCAGGUCGGCAAUGAGAUGACGGCGAUUCCUUCCUCAAGGUCCCUGCUUUCACUUUAAAAGCUGUGUGAGUGCUUACAUCCAGGUUUGCCGUGGAACUCCAAAUGUCUGUGCUUCUAAAGAUGCCCCAAGUUCCCAGUUCAUGUCAGACACUGAAGACACACUUGUGAGGAUCGGGAAGCCCCGCGGUAGCCCCAGUCGACCUCUGGGUGCCACGUGGCACCUCCACUGUUGUGACUACACACACAAGCCCGGGACACCCACUUGUUAGCUCAGGAACCAGGCGGCCAGCAGAUAUCUGCUCAGAUGAACGUCCAGAGACUCAAUCCUCUGGCAUUCUCAGGUUCAAGGUUGGAAAACGCAUUAAGACGAGAGCCACACAGUCAGCAGAAUCUGCGCCAUUAGCUUUCUCGUACUUAAACGUCUGUCUAAAUAAGAGUCAAAGGCACAAAAUGAGAAGGAAUAUCUUACUAGGGAUUGUGACUUGCACUUGCCAUAUUUUGAAAGUACUGGUUCCUAUCUUGCUCUCUCAAACUGCAUUUAAGAAACCCUACAUCAGAAGUUAUUUUCAUUUCUUCUGUGAAAAACAGAAAAUCAAUAAAAGACUGGAAAAACAUAUGAAAUAUAAUUCUGCUUAAAAACAUAACCAUUAUUUAAUCUCAACGGGCCAAUUUAUUUUAAUCCAAAGAGAAGAAGAAAAAAAACACAUGUAUAAAUUUAAAGUUUGUUUUGAAAAAUUACUUCAUCCAUGUACUGUCCAGCUCAUAAAAACAAAACUUCUUCCAGCGAAACGGGACACUUUGACCUUGUUUACUGCAGUGUUUGGAAACCGCUGUCUCGUAACUCCUGACAUCACCGGUGGUGCAUUAGCACCUGGACUGCUGUUGGCUGCACAUGCUGAUACCCCAACUCUCUUGAAUCACCCGUGGCUGAACAAAUACUCACAGAACAGUAAGGAUAGUGGCAUUAGCAUUAAACCCACAAAACUCACAAGACCUUUUAGAAGUGUCACAUCUCUCUGUUCACUUAUACAAGAAAACAAAAGCAUUGUAUAUCUGAUACUUUUUAAGUCCCGGCAUCCAGACUGAGUACAGACAAUUCUUUCUUCUGACCCUCUCCCUGCCCAAGAAACGGGAUUCCUUUCUCACCAACCGCCAUAUUGGCAAGAAUUUCUGCCACAGAGUUUUACUAUUAAUACUAGAAGUUCCAACCUACUUUCCACCAAUAAAAAGUUCCCACAAAUCUUCCUAGGGGAGAAUUUAUUUAAGUAUAUUUUAGAGUUUCAAAGAGCACUGCAUUCUUAAGUUUCACAAAAUCAAAUUUAUUUGUUUUCUUUUAUGGAACAUGCUUUUGGUGGUGUGCCUGCCUGUUGCAUUUCUAAAGAAACAAUUUUCUCCUGUAAGCCUGACACAUUUCCCUUUCUGCAUUCCCCAGUUCUUUUUCUAAAUACACCAAAAUCAAAGCAACGGAUAGUUGCAACCACUGGAAGCAAGCCACAAUUCAAUUUGUGCAAAUAUCUCCCCAGAUUCACUUCUUAAAUAAAACUAAAUCCUGGUCCUACAAUGAUAGUGGAAUUUUACAGAGAAAUUAAAAACCCAAGUUUAAUGUGUCUGAAAUCAACUGAUAACCUUUUACUGAAACCACUUAAAAACAUCACGUCCUUAAACUAUAGUCACCAAAAAAUAUAGAACACAAAAUACAUAUUUGAGCAAUUAUAGCCCUUGUUUGUCAAAGAGGAGUAAAAAGAAAAACAUCCAGAGUUAAUACAAUUAAUUAACUCUAGCUAAAGAACUACUAAAAAGACCCUCCAAAUGCCAUGCUGUUACUACGACAACUUCAAAAUUGCUUGAGAAAAUGUGCUGGAUUGUCAGAUUCGUGAUAAAACAAGUGUCAUCCUGCCUGCUAGGAAUUACUUUCAUUUAUAUCAGGCAGCAGAAAGGCUAAAUGGCCACUUGCAAUUCUGAAAUAUUAGGUUGUUACCUUUUGAUAGAUGCUGUACUCUUCAUUCAGAUCAUGAGAAGAGUUAAAAAAUAAAUGAAUCUCUCUCAAUCAUCGGAACCCUUUUGGUUUCAUUCCUGCAACGAUACCACUCCCACCGUCUAUCUAGUUGGUACAUUAUUUUGUAUAAGGAAAGCAGCAAAGUCUGAUUCAAUCUGAAAGGGAAGGGCCAAGAAAAACCCCUAACAGUAUCUCGUUUCCAAAUACAAAUAGGUGAGCAGACACUCACUCUGAUAUUUAAGGGUUAAUAAUGACACAGAAAAAGAAAACGGCAUUUUCUCCCUUAAAAUUCCUGCUCCUAGGUAUUCAGGCUGAUUUACAUUUUACGUAAUCUGAUGGCUCAAUCAGGAAGUGAGAAUUUUAAGUGCGUGAGUUAUGGACGGGAGGAAGCAUGUGACCCAUACAUAGCAAAGAAAAUUAUGCAGCAGAUGAGCACGCUAAGAAAAAUAAACUAAGCAGUUUAAAAAUAGUGUUUUGAGGAUAUAUCGACCCAUGAAUAUACUAUGGCUUUUGAGAACUAAUAAUUCAUUUGGACGCCUUAAAAAUAAAUCCCCAGGACUGUUUUAAAAAAUAUUACAAGAUCCAAGGAAUCCACGGUGAGAAAUUAAAGUUUAAUUAUCCAAGAAACUGUUUCCCUCAAGUGCAUAUCCAUUCAUGGUUUAUGUUAAAGGCUAUUUUUCAUCAUUAUUUAAAGAUCAGGCAAUACGUAAUAUAAUCAAACAAAACACAGAUUGCAGUGAUG